UUGUGGAUGGGGAACAGCAGCUGGACUAGUUCAGCUGGAGCCCCAAGGAAGGCUUGAUGGGGACAAUAAUGGGGACAUCACUCUGGAAAGCUAGACUGGGGCCUAAGCAGAUUCUUAAUGGCGUGACAUCUCAUGCACAUGCAAAGAAGUAUGCAUUUUGUACUAGAGAACAUAGUGAGUCUCUGAAGAUUCUUGGGACAAGACUACAAAGGAUAUUCGUAAUGAUACCUGACUCUCCUCUGGAAUUUCUUCCUUUAGGGCACAACAAUAUUCCCACUGCUCACCCCAGUGUUGCAUGACAAGAAAGAGUUUCCCAAGGCUGACCAGUUUGACCCACAGCACUUCCUGGAUGAGAACGGGAAAUUCAAGAAAAGUGACCACUUCAUGCCUUUUUCUAUUGGAAAACGGUCUUGUGCUGGAGAGGGCCUGGCGAAGAUGGAGGUUUUUUGUUCCUUACCACCAUUCUACAGAACUUCACUCUCAAACCAGUUGGAGAUCCAAAUGAAAUUAGAAUAAAGCCCAAUUAUGUUGGAUUCAGCAACGUCCACCACAUUACCAACUAUGCUUUCUUCCUCACUGAGAAGAACACAAAGUUGAUUUGGUGAAUUAGCAAGCUGGUUCAUCUUCUGUACUGAAUACUCUCAUGUUUUUUCUGGAAUCCCUUUGAGGAAAGAAAAAUUCCCACAUCUUGAUUAAAAUGAGUUUUAAAUUUCAGAGACAUGACAGCCUUGUUGAGUAUCUUGUAUGUCAUUAUAUGCUGGGGCUGCAUUAUAGACAUUCAUGUGCAACCCUUGAACCAAUACCUCCAGGCAAAUCCUCAAUUCUAGAUUUAGGGUGUGGAGGAAGAUCUGUAAAAUAUCCCCCUCCAAACCAUAUUUGUUUGUACUUUUCUUUUCAUGUUUCCUUCCAGAUGAUCCUAUUUUUUAUUAUAUAGCUCUUGUUUGUGAAUUUGGGGGAGAAUGAACAGGGCUAUGUUGCUAACAACUCCA